GUCAAUAGUCACAGCUCUAGUUUAAAGGUACAAAAAGAGUAGUAUCCAACUUUUAAGAAUGCAAAUCCUAAAACUAGAAAAAAGUCAAAAACCCCCAACAAACCCAUUAACAAACCAAUACAAAGUAAGGGAACAAGAUAAUUAUUGGAAAAAAAAUUCCUAGUGAAUAUUGGGUUAGAAUUCUACAUUAUGUCAUAGAGUCCCAUCAUGAUUUCCCUUAGAAAUGCAGAUUUUGAAUCUCACGAUUUUCAGUUUUGUGACUAAGAAAAGAUUGGAAUUAACACUUCUGGUUUUAUUUCACUUUUUGUUACUGCUAAAGUUGCAUUUAUUGGAUUUUUUUUUAUUCCCCCUCCCUUUUUUUUUCAUAUUUUAAACUGCCCAGAAAUGCUGAAUAAUGUUAGUGCCAUGUCAUACCUGAGCUAAGGAGCGUGUUGCAGCCGGUAGUUGUGAACUCUUCAUUGCCUGUAGCCUCAGGCCAGUGUCUACUGUCACCUGCCUUAUCCUCUGAUAGAAUUAUUUGACUUACCUAGGCUUAUUUCAGGUUUCCAGGGGAUGAUAUUAAAUUUAUCAUUUCCUAGGAAUUUGUUCUUGGAGACAUGUGAGUAGAUCCUUUGGGAACCUCUCUUCUGUAGUUGUACUAAAAGACAGACCAUUAAAUUGCUUUCUACCUAUUUGGUUGCUAUGACAAAUCUGGAAUUCUAUACUUGGAGAUAAAUGGACAAAAAAUGUGUCCUACUGUUGCAGGGCAAACUCUAUUGAGUCAGCUGAGUCAGAUCACACUGGCUGCACAACUUUUGAUGCAAUGAAUCAGAUAAUUGGUCUAGCUGUGCCAACACCCUUCUACUUCUGGCCAUGCCAUUGUUUGACACUUUAGAGAAAUGUGCAAAAAAUCCAUAAACCACCUGGCCAAUUGUUCAAGUUACAUAUCUUGAUUAAAAAAAGUUAUGGAUGAAAAAGCAGAAGUCAGGGAAACUGAUGAUAUUUUUCUAGUCGAGUGCUCAGUUAGACACCUUGUAUUUAACAGAAUGUGAAGAAGCUCCCUUUUGUUUCUCAGUAUUUUUCUAAAUGAUCAUAUUUUAUGAAGCAUGCACAUACUAAUCCAGAGACAUAGACAACUGGACUAUUAAGAUUCAUUAAAUGCAUUGAUUUGUCUUUUUCUUUCUGUUUCUUAUCUCUUAUUAAUGAUGCACAAUGACAUGUCUCUCAUUUUUUUAUCUGUUUUCAUCCAUAGUCCUCAUAUUUUAUCUCGAACAAAGAGUAGUCUUGUGUCACGAAGGCUCAUCAAAGUCAUAAUUGCUCUUCAUUUAUCUGCAUUGAACUGUCUGUCAUCUGUUAGCAUUUUGAAUGCUCUAUACGACUUUCUGCACUUGUCUGCAUUCUUCCUCAUUUACUUCUCCUAGACCAUCCAUUACAUCUUGCUAGCUGAUUUCUACUUUUAAUUUUUUUAAUUACUAUGUGUGUUUGUACCCUUCUAGCAGUUUCAACCCAGAAAUAUUGGUAAUGUUUUGGUUUCUGCAUUUAAUUUAUAGUCAGCACUACUAUUUGUCUGCAAGACUAAUGUGCCCCAGCAGGGAAGGAUAAAUCUCAGUAUUGAGAAUCUGUAAUACACCAUAACAGCCUACACACCUUUUCCUAAUCUAUCUUUAUGCUCUGGACAUUAUCUUUGACAUAGCCUAAAGCUCAAAAGAGCUUAUUGUAAGUAAUUUCUGUAAAAUCAUCAGCUGAUAAUUACUAGAUUGGUGGCCAGAAGGGGAUAAAGGCUGUUACUGAUGAUUUUAAUUUCUUCUUGGUUUUAUCAUGCAUCAUGUUUUACUUUUAGUUAAUUAAAUAUUCAUUUUAUUUUUUCUUAUCAUACAACUGCUUGUGCUUGUCCUUUUCCUCCUAGGUACCUGUCUCAUCAUCUUUACUAUAUCUUAUUUUAAAAGACAUGGCAAAACUGGAUUACAGAAGGUGCUUUACAAAUUAGAUAAAGAACUCAAAUUUCAGAAGGCUGCUUUGAGGAAGUAAAUAUGGAAAUAUUAAUUUUGAGCUGUUCAGAUACUGUGUUCUUUAUUUAUAAAUUGAGACAAAUGAACAUCCUUUCCUUCACAAGGAAAUCCUUCUUAUGAGUAGGUGAAGGUUAUCAGACAGAAGGUUACUGUAGAAGGAUUAAAUAGUAUAUACUUUAUAUUUCAGCUUCUGAACUGAGGAACAUUGGUAUAAUGGAAUCAAUGAAACUAUGGUGUUUUAUAUAAAAUGAAAACAAAUGUGGAUGGGUUUGUUCAUUUGUUUUUGUAUUUAGAAGAGAGGCAGAUAAACAGUGGUAUCGUUACUUCAUUUAGGCAGUUUCAGAGGCCUAGGAACUUUAUUGUCUUGAGCUCAGGUGAACAAAACACUAUUUAGUGUUUGGUAAUUCUUUAGACUAGAAAUAAUAACAGGUCACAAGAAAUCUGCUGAAACUCAGUUUACAUUAAUAUUACUCUGUAAUUAAUUUUUCUGCUUUCACCAAAACUGAAAUUUCUGAUAGUGUGCAAACUAUUAAAUAGCUUUAAUAAAAAAAACAGAAGCCAGGUCAAAAGGGACAAAUACCUCACCAGCCUUCUUAACUUUUCAUGUGUUGUUUUAAUUUCAUUUAAUUUUAUAAAUACUAGAAAUACUUUAUAUCUUUAUAUACACAGUACUAUGAAAUUAAGCAAGCUAAUCUUUAAUAGGUGUUAUAUUUUUAAAUUAGGAAUGGAAACAUCUAAGGGGUCUAUGAAGCAUUCCUACAGUAUGCCUAACUUUUUAAAUGCUUUUAUUGAGACAGGAAAUUUUGACUGAGAAAGAGUAUAUAGCUUGGAAACAUAACAAGAUAAUCCAUCAUGAUCAAUUAUUUUCAAUGUUAAUUGUACAUUUGAGUUUGUCUACCUUGAAUUUUCAGCUAUUGUACCUUACUACAGAUUAUGAUAUAUGAACCUUCUCAUCACAAACAAAAUGGAAUCUUCUCUUUAACUUCCUUAAGUAACAAAAUCUUUUUUUCCUCUUUUCCACUCUUUUGUUGGUUACCGGUUCCUUGUCAACUACAGCAUCACCCACCCACACAUCCCAGAUGCCACUCUCUCAUUUUCCUUCCAAAACAGCAGAAUACAUCACCUGUUAUCAAUGCUGCCAUUCAUUCUCAAGAAACAAUCAAGAAAUAGGUACAUAUCCAAGGCUCCUGGCAGCCACCAAUGUUUGAAAGAUUGAGGAAUUCUAUUUCUACUCUAUUUCCUGAUCUUCAUCAGCAUAGAGUAUAAUAUGGCUCUGGAAAAACUUCUGAGCUCCAACUAGAAACAGCUAGUAACACAAUAGAACAAGUUUGUAGUUUUGCCUGAGCAACUGGUGAAAAACCAAAUUUCAACUGCCCUAGCUUGAAAGAGCCCCAUUUUUCUGUCCCUCAGGGUCACAGACGAGACUUUAUCUCUGGCUUCCCAUGUUCUCUGCUUCUCUGGUGUUCUGUGGAAAAUUCUUUAAUAUUUUUUGUUCAGCUUGCUUUUUCCUGCCAUAUAAUUCUGCUAAAUGCUUUAGCACAGUCUGGCCUACUGAUUGUCUCUUCUUCAUUGCUAUUUAAUGCCCUUUGCCUCCUUUCUACCAAUAGACUGGCUGUACCACUGCUCCAUUUGUGUCAUUGAGGUUGUUGUUUUAUUCAUCUGUUCUGAAGUAUGCUGUGGAUUAACUAUUCCUAUUACUUCUUAACUUGGACUUAUUUAUUGCUUCAAUGGACAUAGCUCUUCUCAUGUUUCCUGAUUUUCUCAUCUUGUACUCCUCUUCCCUCCUUCGUUCCCCUACCCUUUCAUUUCUUAACCUCCUUUUAUCUUAGCACAGAAUCUCAAGCCCUAAAUCACAAAGUGCAAUGUAAUAAGCACAAGUGGCUGAGCUGUUAUAACUUACAAAAGAAAAUGAAAAAGGGUCAGCGAAAAUGCCCCCAUUAAUCUCUGCUCUUGCAUUUUAUACAGCUGUUUCUGUUCCUGUACAGGACAGAUAGCAAAAGAUGCCAACUUUCAACUUCAUCCCAACCUGCCUAUAGGCAAAGACAAUAUGAAGUGGAAGAUGAACUGACCAUACCCCAUAGACAUCUUCUAGAAAUGGCAUAUGCAUGUUUAUUUUUAGGUUUGUUUUUUUUUUUCCCUCCCUACAAGCUGUAUAUUUUUAAAUUUUCACUUUAUGUGCUACCACCAAUGGUGUUUUUGUAUCUAAACACAGCACAUGAUAUACCAGGGAAAAGUGCAGUUCUCAUUCUCAGGUCUGCUUAGUAAUGGCAGGUGAAAGCAAAAACUCUCUUCUUUUGAAUAUCUGACAGUGGCAUUUAGGGCUACUGUCUGCUCAACUGGUUAUUGCUCAGCCUCUCCAGCUAAGAGUGACUGCUCACGUUCAGGGGUUUCUGACUUUCCUACUCCUGCUACACAACUGCUGGGGAAGUUCAUAAGAGUAACAGGCCUGAGAGUUAAACAGGUCUGGAGCCAGAGGGUGACUGGGACCUUGUGGCACAAUUCCUGAUCAAGAGGAGGGUCUACUGCUCGACGUAGUUGCCAUUGAAAAUCUUCCUCAUGAGUCAAAUUGAGGUGAAAGUAUUUUUAACUGUGUUAAAACAGUGUUUUAGGCCACAUAUCCCAAGUCUUUCCCUAUCUUUUGGUAAACAAUGGGUUUCCGCUGUCUCUGAAAGUUCAGAUACCUUCUGAAGGUCAUCUGCCAGAGCACAAAAACAUUUGGGGAAAAAAGAAGGUUGUGACUUAUUUUACAGUUUGGGAAUGCAGUGGCAGUAUUUUGGACACAUUUUGAGGAAGGAUUAUGACAACCCUCUAAAAUUAAUCAACUCCCACUUCUUUCAUCCAACCAGUUCACCUGUUUUAUGUUGUAUUUUCUAUAUGUCUGUGACCUCUCACUUUUCAUCUUUCCAGAGUGAAAGAGUGACAAGAUGGCUCAUAGCACCAUACAUGAUUUGAAAGAUAUUUGCAAAAAGAGCUCCCUAAAGAAAAAGAUUCAGGGAACACUAUAAUUUGCACUAUUUGUACAGCCUUCAGUGGAAGCGUGAGAAGGUGGCUAAAGGGAAAAUAGAAGUCAUGAAAACUGAAAAUAUGAGGAAGGGAUGGAGGCAAGUUUGGGAGCAGUGAGUAUCUGAAUGCUGUUUCCUUUUAACUUAGAUUCAAUGUGUUAGCCAGCAGACUGUUUUUUUAACCUGCUACUUUACCUGCUACUUUUUUCCUUUUUUUUUUCUUAAAAUUUUUUUAUUUUCACUUGGAUGUAUUUCACAACCCAUGAAAAUCCAGGGCAAGCCAAUCACUUUUCAGUGUUAAAUGCAAAUUAAGGUUUUUUGCUUCAUUACCUUUUCAAACAUGGUAUCUUGUGAAAAUAAUUUUUCCUUAGUUCUUUCUAACACAGGCAGAGAUCUUAAUAUAUACAGUGUAUAGUGUACAAAUGCAAUGUAUACACAAAUAAAUAUAUUUACUUAGCCAGGGAUCUGUCUGUACCCAUACAAUCUUUAAGCCAAAUUCAACAUUUAUACAACUUGUCUCUCCAUAUAAUUCUAGUGUGUUUGGAUUAAACAAGUCUGCAGCUUUCUAAUUGUCAUGGUUUAACCCCAGCUGCCAACUAAGCGAAACUGGCACAUAAUAAAAGAUCUGACUCUUCCUUCAAACCCUGCACAGACCGUACAUCUGGGAGAUGAUUUUGGAGGUGUGAAGAAGAGAAAACAUCAUUUCCUGGCAUGUCUUUUACUCCAGAUGAACAUAUCAGUACGCUCUUUUUGAUUGCUUACCUGCUGUUAGUGCUCUGUGAAGUGAUCCCGUCACCACAAGACUGUUUCCCACUCAGCUCAGAACGCAGUUAGCCAUUUCUGUUGUAGAUACACACUGAUGGCUCAUGCUCAACUUGCUAACCACUGCAAACUCCAGGAAUUUUCCAGCAGAACUGCCUGGAACCAAUCCAUCCCAGCCUGUAACUCUGCAAAAGGCUCUGCUUCCCAUGUAGAGGACUUUACAUUUGUCUUUGCUGAAUUUGAUAAGGCUCCUGUUCACCCCAUUCCUUCAGCAAGUCUGGGUCCCUCCACUCUCUCUGUAUUGACUGUUCCUCCCCUCCUGGUUGUCACCUGCAAACUUGGAGAAAGAGCACUUCAUCACCUCCUUCAGCUUUUCGUUAGAGACACUAAACAAGACAGAUAUGUAAUGCAACAUUAGUGUUUCAAGAAUUCAAGUAGUUCAUUCUGUCUUUCUGCUUCUGACACUCACAAGCCUCCCUCUGAACUGUUCUUAACUCUGACCAGCUGAACCAAGCGUAAAUUGAUGGGCUCUACACCAGAAAAUGUCUUUUAUUUCACUGAAAAUGUUGUCUGAAUGAAAACCAAAAGAUUGUGUCAUUCAUCAUACUGGGCAUUCUUUCAACAAAGGGAUUUCAAGAAAAUCUCUGGUUCAGCAAAUGCAUAAAAGAGAAUCUUUUGAUUUUCAUAGCUGUACAGUGCAGCACUAGCAGGGUAAGCUUGGUGUGUAAUUAUAAUUUCUGAGAACAAACUGAAAUAAAAGAUCUUUGUGAUGAAAUACAUACUCUAAAAUGUGAGUGCUAUAUUCUAUGGAUUGUCAUUAUUUUGAAGUCUUAAAAUAAAUAAAUGUUUCCAGAAGCAAA